AGUGAACGCUGGCGGUAGGCCUAACACAUGCCAGUCGAACGGCAGCACAGUAAGAGCUUGCUCUUACGGGUGGCGAGUGGCGGACGGGUGAGGAAUACAUCGGAAUCUACUUUUUCGUGGGGGAUAACGUAGGGAAACUUACGCUAAUACCGCAUACGACCUACGGGUGAAAGCAGGGGAUCUUCGGACCUUGCGCGAUUGAAUGAGCCGAUGUCGGAUUAGCUAGUUGGCGGGGUAAAGGCCCACCAAGGCGACGAUCCGUAGCUGGUCUGAGAGGAUGAUCAGCCACACUGGAACUGAGACACGGUCCAGACUCCUACGGGAGGCAGCAGUGGGGAAUAUUGGACAAUGGGCGCAAGCCUGAUCCAGCCAUACCGCGUGGGUGAAGAAGGCCUUCGGGUUGUAAAGCCCUUUUGUUGGGAAAGAAAAGCAGCAGGUUAAUACCCCGCUGUCCUGACGGUACCCAAAGAAUAAGCACCGGCUAACUUCGU
rnacentral:rRNA from 1 species